UACGUGGGGGGCAAGCGUUGUUCGGAAUUACUGGGCGUAAAGGGCUCGUAGGCGGCCAACUAAGUCGGAUGUGAAAUCCCCAGGCUCAACUUGGGAACUGCAUCCGAUACUGGAUGGCUUGAAUUCGGGAGAGGGAUGCAGAAUUCCAGGUGUAGCGGUGAAAUGCGUAGAUAUCUGGAGGAAUACCGGUGGCGAAGGCGGCAACCUGGACCGAAAUUGACGCUGAACGGCGAAAGCUAGGGGAGCAAACGGG
rnacentral:rRNA from 1 species